GACGAACGCUGGCGGCGUGCUUAACACAUGCAAGUCGAACGGAAAGGCCCUGCUUUUGUGGGGUGCUCGAGUGGCGAACUGGCGAGUAACACGUGAGUAACCUGCCCUUGACUUUGGGAUAACUUCAGGAAACUGGGGCUAAUACCGGAUAGGAGCUCCUGCUGCAUGGUGGGGGUUGGAAAGUUUCGGCGGUUGGGGAUGGACUCGCGGCUUAUCAGCUUGUUGGUGGGGUAGUGGCUUACCAAGGCUUUGACGGGUAGCCGGCCUGAGAGGGUGACCGGCCACAUUGGGACUGAGAUACGGCCCAGACUCCUACGGGAGGCAGCAGUGGGGAAUAUUGCACAAUGGGCGGAAGCCUGAUGCAGCAACGCCGCGUGCGGGAUGACGGCCUUCGGGUUGUAAACCGCUUUCGCCUGUGACGAAGCGUGAGUGACGGUAAUGGGUAAAGAAGCACCGGCUAACUACGU
rnacentral:rRNA from 1 species